CGGCGCGUGGGGAUUUGUAAUCGGUGGUAGAGUAAUAUCCUUGUGUGGGAUGAAGCUACGAUGGCGCGUGGGGAAACACGCGAUCUGAAUAGCGUUUUUCUUUAGCUCAACGAUGUUCCGGUCGUUUACGUGCGAAAUUCCGUCGCAGGAAAGAUAAAAAUGAUCAGCGCCGAGGGAACGGUUCCAGUAAGGAAAAUCGUUACGGAUGCGUGAGAUGAAACGCGCGAGCGAGCGCG
rnacentral:lncRNA from 1 species